rnacentral:rRNA from 1 species
UGGGGAUGACGUCAAGUCCUCAUGGCCUUUAUGACCAGGGCUACACACGUACUACAAUGGCCGGUACAAAGGGCAGCGACACAGCGAUGUGAAAGCCAAAUCCCGAAAAGACCGGUCUCAGUCCGGAUUGGAGUCUGCAACUCCGACUCCAUGAAGUUGGAAUCGCUAGUAAUCGUGGAUCAGCAUGUCACGGUGAAUACGUUCCCGGGUCUU